rfam:Rattus norvegicus chromosome 4, whole genome shotgun sequence.
GCAAGUCAGGGGCAUUUCACUGUGACUUCUAUUACCCCAUCAUGUGCCUGGCAGAUUCAGCUGAUGGGGCUAAGUGGUGUCUCUUUUCUCCUCACUACUCCAGAUAUGUCAGUUCCAAAGCUGCAUGAUCAGUUGAUAAAGGACGACUUUCCUCAUAAGGAGGAAGGUCAUGGGUAAAGGGCAGGUUAGCAGCUGAACUCUCCUGUUAGAACCUCCAAACAUGCUCUCAAGAGAUGCUCUCAUGUUUACAGUGCACCUGUACCCACUUUCAGCCCUCACUCAGUUCCCAAUUAUCUUACUUUCUGAUGUUGACU